rnacentral:pre_miRNA from 1 species
GAGUUACUCCAUCCGUUCCGAAUUACUUGUCGCAAGUAUGGAUGUAUCUAGAUGUAUUUUAGUUCUAGAUACAUUCAUUUUUGCGAACAAUAAUUUAGAAGGGAGGGAGUACUAG